rnacentral:rRNA from 1 species
CGAGCGGCGAACGGGUGAGUAACGCGUGGAUGACCUACCUUGAGGUGGGGGAUAACUCGGGGAAACUCGAGCUAAUACCGCAUAGGAUCGUGAGAUCAAAGGGGCGCAAGUCCCGCCAUGAGAGGGGUCCGCGUACGAUUAGCUAGUUGGCAGGGUAAUGGCCUACCAAGGCGACGAUCGUUAGCCGGCCUGAGAGGGUGAUCGGCCACACUGGAACUGAGACACGGUCCAG